CCUUCAUCUCAUGAGCUUAAGAUCUGCUUAGGCAAUGAGGAGAGCAACUUGCGACACAGCUGCAAUUAAAAUCAAGAAUGAAAGAAUAAUGCCCUUGCCAGGUCUGUCCGGGAAGAAGAGGAAUAAGUUAAAAUUAAACCUUAGUUGAUCCGGAUCUGAAAUAGAUUUAAACCAGCUCCGCAAAGCCAGGGCAGGUUUUUAAAUCAAAACCUGGGCUUCGGGUUCCUUUUGUUAGCAAAAUGCCCUUACUUGAUGGAACACCAAAACCUCAUUAAAUUGCAAACACUGGACUAUACAAGAUGGAGAAUGAGCAAUUCCACUUAAAGGCUGCAGCUCUCCACACGUUGCCCCAGAAGGACAAUGAGUUCUAAAGGUCAGGGUUACACAUGGCGUGGGCAGAAGAAACAUAUAUGAAGCCACAAUGUACCAGUUCAUCUCAAUUAUGGUUUGAAGGCCUUUUUGAGAGGAGAGACAAAUCUUUUGUUUCUAUCAUCCUCCAGCAUUAUCUUGGCACUAGUCGUUGAUCCAAAUAAGAAACUUCUUUCCUUAAGUUUCCUCACAAACAACAUCAUCCUUUUUUUUUUUUUUUGAGGAAGAUUAGCCCUGAGCUAACAUCUGCUGCCAAUCCUCCUCUUUUUGCUGAGGAAGACUGGCCCUGAGCUAACAUCCGUGCCCAUCUUCCUCCACUUUAUAUGUGGUACACCUACCACAGCAUGGCUUGCCAAGCGGUGCCAUGUCUGCAACCAGGAUCUGAACCGGUGAAACCCGGGCUGCUGAAGCAGAACGUGUGAACUUAACCACUGUGUCACUGGGCUGCUCCAACAUCAUUCUAUUUUUUAACAGGAUGUCUAAAGGCUCUGAAAAUCAGAUCCAGAGAGAUCAUUUAAUCUCUAUUUAAUCAAAAUAAUCUCAAUAGUCAAUCUAGUCUGACCUGAAACUUUGUAAUUUUAGUCCAUUCUUGUUUAAAUGAUCAACUUACAAAAACAAAUUAACCAGGAGAUCCUCUUCAAUUUGCAAAAAAUCUUUAAGGAGCAAUCAAAUGCAGCCCACAGAGGCUUUCCAGCCACCAUGUCUCUCUAACUAGAGUAACUAGUUAAGUUUCCAGUUUCCUAGAAACAGCUCAUAGUCUUUCUACAAUCUUAGCUUCUCAUCUGGAAGUGACUUGGUUUGGAUAAUAAAUUAUAUGGUCAUCAUAUUUAUAAGGUUUAGGUCCUUGGCAGUUUGCAUAUUAGUAGUUUACCCCUCUAGUGACCCUCAGGUGGUCCAUAAGCCAAGUCUACCUCUCAUGUCAGGCUCUAAUGGUGCACUGAGGAAAACAGGCACAUGGUGGGACAAUGGGCAGACCAGACAUAUUGGAACAUGCAAGCGUCUAGAUGCAGGAUUCUACAAAAAGGGGUGUCAGAGUGACAAAGAGUCUGCCAUGGAGCAUGUGAGGUCAGAGGAAGGAAGUGCAUGUGAUUCAAACAUAAAUAUAUUGAAUCAUGAUAGACAGAAGUUCUCUGGACAGAGAACAGUUAUGUGCAGACAGAAAACAGGUGGACAUGUACAGCUCACCAUGAGACAAACUGCAGUGGCAACUCAAGAGGGGAGCAUGUGAAUUUCCUGACUGUUCUUUGAGAAGAAUUGCACUGUUUGAAAAUCUUUUCUGCCUUUAGUCUAUGGAUCCUGAAAGCAGUAGAGGCAGUGGUGAUUGGGGUGAUUUGGAACUUUGUAUAUUAUGUCUUUGUUAUUGAUUUCAAAUUUUUUUUUCUGGGUUUUUUUUUUACUCCCCAGAUCCCCCUAGUAGAUAGUCGUAUAUUUUAGUUGUGGGUCCUUCUAGUUGUGGCAUGUGGGACGCUGCCUCACUGUGGCCUGAUGAGCAGUGCCAUGUCUGUGCCCAGGAUGCAAACCGGUGAAACCCUGGGCCACCAUAGCGGAGUGCGUGAACUUAAUCACUCGGCCACGGGGCUGGCCCCCCAAUUUUUUGCUAUUGGUCUAUAUGAUAUUAAUUAUUUGGGUUUUUAGAACUUUUUUCUUGUAGAUCAGUACGUGAUUAAUCUAUGUAAAUGUUGAAUAUGUGCUUGAAAAGAAGGUAUAUUCUUUAUAAUGUGAAAAUAACUCUAUAUAUCUAAUAAUAUAAUCAUUUAAAUUAUAUUAUUUGUAUCUUCUGUACAUUGGCCUACUUUUUGGCUUUUUGAUCUAUCAGCUUUUGAGGGAAGUCUAUUAAAAUCUCCCAAAUCUUCCAUCACAAUUGCCAAUUUAUCUACUUGCCUCUGUAGGUCUAUUAGUUGUUGCAUUAUAUAGUUUGAGACUAUGCUAUUAGGUCCAUAUAGGUUCAUGAUUGUUAGCUCUUAUUACUCUACUCUUUGUUUUAUGAGAAUAUAAUAUUUCUUCUUGUUACCUAUUAAAUUUUUGUCUUUAAUUAUAUUUUGAGAGAUUUUAUGAAUUCUAGAUUUCUUUGAUUUCUUUUGGUUUUGUCUGUUU
rnacentral:lncRNA from 1 species